rnacentral:rRNA from 1 species
GACGAACGCUGGCGGCGUGCUUAACACAUGCAAGUCGAACGGAAAGGCCCUGCUUUUGUGGGGUGCUCGAGUGGCGAACGGGUGAGUAACACGUGAGUAACCUGCCCUUGACUUUGGGAUAACUUCAGGAAACUGGGGCUAAUACCGGAUAGGAGCUCCUGCUGCAUGGUGGGGGUUGGAAAGUUUCGGCGGUUGGGGAUGGACUCGCGGCUUAUCAGCUUGUUGGUGGGGUAGUGGCUUACCAAGGCUUUGACGGGUAGCCGGCCUGAGAGGGUGACCGGCACAAUUGGACUUGGGGAAGGACCAGACGCCUACGGGAGGCAGCAGUGGGGAAUAUUGCACAAUGGGCGGAAGCCUGAUGCAGCAACGCCGCGUGCGGGAUGACGGCCUUCGGGUUGUAAACCGCUUUCGCCUGUGACGAAGCGUGAGUGACGGUAAUGGGUAAAGAAGCACCGGCUAACUACGUG